ACCUGGCUGUCUUAGUUGGUGGAGUGUGUGGCUCUUAAUCAUGGGGUUGUGAGUUUGAGCCUCACAUUGGGUG
rnacentral:tRNA from 1 species